rnacentral:misc_RNA from 1 species
GGGGCUUCAAGCCGGCGAUGGCCGCGGCGUCGAGAUAGGCGUGUCUUUGAUUGUCCGUGAAGUAGGAGGGGACGCCGAUGACGCAGUCGGAGACGGCAGUGUUGAGCUCUUUCUCGGCGAUCUGCUUGAGGUGAGCGAGGAGCAUGGCGAGGAGCUGGACGGGGGUGAAUGAUUGAUCGUUACCAAGGUAGGGUAGGUGGAUGAGGAUGCCGCCGUCGGG